UCGGGAAUUUUGGGCAAUGGGCGAAAGCCUGACCCAGCAACGCCGCGUGAGGGAUGAAGUAUUUCGGUAUGUAAACCUCGAAAGAAUGGGAAGAAUAAAUGACGGUACCAUUUAUAAGCUCCGGCUAACUACGUGCCAGCAGCCGCGGUAAUACGUAGGGAGCAAGCGUUGUUCGGAUUUACUGGGCGUAAAGGGCGCGUAGGCGGCGCGGUAAGUCACUUGUGAAAUCUCUGAGCUUAACUCAGAACGGCCAAGUGAUACUGCUGUGCUAGAGUUCGGAAGAGGCAACCGGAAUUCUUGGUGUAGCGGUGAAAUGCGUAGAUAUCAAGAGGACCACCUGAGGCGAAGGCGGGUUGCUGGGCCGACACUGACGCUGAUGCGCGAAAGCCAGGGGAGCAAACG
rnacentral:rRNA from 1 species